CCCUUAGAUGUUCUGGGCUGCACGCGCGCUACACUGUCGGAUUCAGCGAGUCAUAUCCUUAACCGAAAGGUUUGGGUAAUCUUUUGAAAGUCCGACGUGAUGGGGAUUGAUCAUUGCAAUUAUUGAUCAUGAACGAGGAAUUCCUAGUAAGCGCGAGCCAUCAGCUCGCGUUGAUUACGUCCCUGCCCUUUGUACACACCGCCCGUCGCUACUACCGAUUGAAUGGUUUAGUGAGAUCUUCGGAUUGGCGCCUACGCGGCUUCUCUGAGGCCACGCUGGAUGCCGAAAAGUUGCUCAAACUGUAUCAUUUAGAGGAAGUAAAAGUCGUAACA
rnacentral:rRNA from 1 species